rnacentral:rRNA from 1 species
GGGGAAUAUUGCACAAUGGGCGAAAGCCUGAUGCAGCAACGCCGCGUGAGUGAUGAAGGUUUUCGGAUCGUAAAGCUCUGUUGCCAGGGAAGAACGUCUUCUGGAGUAACUGCCAGGAGAGUGACGGUACCUGAGAAGAAAGCCCCGGCUAACUACGUGCCAGCAGCCGCGGUAAUACGUAGGGGGCAAGCGUUGUCCGGAAUUAUUGGGCGUAAAGCGCGCGCAGGCGGCUGUUUAGGUCUGGUGUAUAAUCCUGGGGCUCAACUCCGGGUCGCACUGGAAACUGGACGGCUUGAGUGCAGAAGAGGAGAGUGGAAUUCCACGUGUAGCGGUGAAAUGCGUAGAGAUGUGGAGGAACACCAGUGGCGAAGGCGACUCUCUGGGCUGUAACUGACGCUGAGGCGCGAAAGCGUGGGGAGCAAAC